AUUCAAGACCUUUUAAAGCAAAAACAUUUCCCAUGCAAGUUUGAAUCUCUCUCAGUAAGGACUUAUUGACUGGCUGUCUGUUCUCGACCAAACGGUCAUUCUUACUCAUAAAAAACUUUUAAAGCACAAGUGUGUCCCGCGCAAGUUUGAAUUUCUCUCAGUAAGGACUGACGGACGGCCAUUCACUCAUAAAACCUUUUAAAGCACAAGUGUUUCCCGCGCAAAUUAGAAUUUCUCUCAGUAAGGACUGAUGGAUGGCCAUUCACUCAUAAAACCUUUUAAAGGUUAGCACGAAUGCAUCCAGCAUAAUUUUGGAUCUUUACCAUUGAGGAGACUGGCUGACUGUUCUCAACCAACCAUCAUUCACACGCAAAAACUUUAAAGGUAAGUAUGAACGUGUCUAGAGCAGUUUUGGAUCUUUACCAUUGAGGAGGUUGACUGACUUUCAUCUACCAACUGUCAUUAACACAACAAAAACUAAAGAAAUGUUACUACAAGUGGACCUAUUCAGUUACUCAUCAUUAUGCUGUGAGUAGACCACAAUUUUAUCAGUGAAACAAUAAUGUUUGUUUUUUCUCAAUGCUUGGCAUAGACAAAUGUGACCCUGUGUAAUUUGGAAAUUUCAUGGGAAAUGUGUACGUCUUAAAAAUGUUUAAAUGUCGUUUAAGGAACAGUACGCUGAUUUAUUAAAAGUGUGCAAUACACUGAGUCUGUUAAAGUCAUAAAGGAAUACUUGAUAUAUAUUAUAAAGGAAUGUGUAAAUCUAAUAUUAGUUUUAAUGUGAAUGUGGACAGAAAAGCAAAAAAAUGUUUGUAAAAUAAACAAUUGUUUAAUAAACUGUAAUAAUUUUACCCUUUUCUGUCAUCAUUUUUUAUACUAAUGUUUGGUUUAAGGCAAUCGGUUUCCUCAAACGGUUUAAGUUGAGUUAACUUUUCGGGUUUUACAGUGUAACAACAAUGUACAAAAUCAAAAAGAGGAAAGCAUAUUUUAAGAAACAAAAAAUUUAAUUGGAUCCCAUUAAAAUCCUCUACAAAUUAUCCUAAAGGAUAUUUUUGUCGUGUCUUAAAAUCCUUUAGAAAUAUCCUCUAAUA